AGCGGCAACAGCUCAAAUUUGAAAUCUGGCCUCUUUGGGGUCCGAAGUUGUAAUUUGUAGAGGAUGUUUCGGGUACCGCCUCGGUUUAAAUUUCUUGGAACAGAAUGUCAAAGAGGGUGAGAAUCCCGUCUUGGACCGGCGGUAGGGCCCAUGUGAAACUCCUUCGACGAGUCGAGUUGUUUGGGAAUGCAGCUCAAAAUGGGUGGUAAAUUUCAUCUAAAGCUAAAUAUUGGCCAGAGACCGAUAGCGCACAAGUAGAGUGAUCGAAAGAUGAAAAGCACUUUGAAAAGAGAGUUAAACAGUAUGUGAAAUUGUUGAAAGGGAAGCGCUUACAACCAGACUUGCGCGCGGCGGUUCCCCCUUCCUUUUGGUUGGGCUACUCCGUCGUGUCCAGGCCAACAUCGGUUCUGGGGGUCGGUUAAAGACCCUGGGAAUGUAUCUACCCUUCGGGCGUAGACUUAUAGCUCAGGGUGUCAUGCGACCUCCCGGGACCGAGGAACGCGCUUCGGCUCGGAUGUUGGCGUAAUGGUUGUCAGCGACCCGUCUUGAAACACGGACCAAGGAGUCUAACAUCUAUGCGAGUGUUUGGGUGUCAAACCCGGAACGCGAAAUGAAAGUGAACGGAGGUAGGAAGCCAUGAGGCUGCACUAUCGACCGAUCCUGAUGUCUUCGGAUGGAUUUGAGUAAGAGCAUAGCUGUUGGGACCCGAAAGAUGGUGAAC
rnacentral:rRNA from 1 species